UGUCCUAGCAGAGAUGGGAGUCCUCACCUCCAGCUCUUCCGUAUCCAUCCCAGCUCUACUAUAAUAUUUGAGAAAAUCCUAAGAUGUAGAAAAGAAAUGCUCAGGACAGGUGAAGGUGCCCAGGAAGUCUGGGGGGAGCCUUAGGAACGCUGGGGAGAGGAACGAGACAGGGAAGGCUGUCCCAGCCAGCAGAACCCCCAGGGAAUAAGUGGUCCUGACCUUGAGCAGUAGCUGGUAUUUCAUGAUCCUCUGCACUGGUUUGAUGAGCAGGUCGCUGAGCUGCAGGCGGUGCCCUAGCUGCUGCCGGAGCUCCUGGCGACAAGGACAGGGUGGUUACGCAGCCUGGAGAGCCUGAUGAUUCUGUCCCCCUUCCCCCAAGGUACCUCAGCCACUGACCUCAAAGUAGCUGUCCCCAAAUUCUGACACCACAUGCUCUGACUUGGGCUUAUUCUGACAGUACACCACGUACAUAUGCAGCCGGCGCUCCUAACAGGGGUCGAGUUUAAGGAGAGCAGGACGGGUGAGGCGAGAGAACACUUCUGGGGAGCCCCGACCCACUCCCGAGCCCCGCCCCUUCGAGGCCGCCCCCUUAAGCCUCACGUGUUUGAUGAAGAGCUGAGCCAGCCAAUCAGGAUCCUUCAAACACCGCUGUAGCUCCUCCAGGAAAUAGCUGGAGGGGUUGGUGAGGAAAAGGCUGGUCAAAUACCCCCACCCUACUCAACUGAGAGCUGUCAACCCUAGCUGGGCCAUUAAGCCACUCCAGACUUUGCUCAGGAGACUGCGGGCCCAUGGCUAGGUUACAGAGACAACAGAGUUCACUCAAGACAUACCUGGGAAGAGAGCAGGAGUGCACAUCCUUGGUUUAGCCACUACCUCCCUCCUGGACUAGAAGCCCCUUCAUUACCAUAGCCAACCUCAGAGGAAAUUCCAAGUAUUAAAUCUAAAACGGGCUUGGGACAGAGUUUCCUCCUCAGGUGGCUGGAAGGACAGAACAUCCUAGAGUCAGCACAUGGAUGCUUUUGGGAAGCCAUACAGACCCGUUUCUUCAUACCUGUGUCUUAUCUCCAGGACCCUCCAACAAUGUGGUCAGCAGGGUACAAGUCUCCAGCCUCUGAAUCCCGAGGGCCAGGUCAGUCUGACGCCCUGAACCCUCAGCCCGCCCCCCACUCAACGCUGGGCCCUUGCGACCUCGCACUCACCACGACCCCCCCGGGCGAAGCAGCAGCCGCAUUUUGCCAGCACUUUUCGAAUCACGUGGGGACAGGCACAGCGACCCCCCUUGUGCCCCCCCCGCAUGGCGCCCGGGCCCCCCCGCACCCCCCACCCGGGCCGGCCAUGCAGGGGGAAUCACGGGGGGCGGGGC